rnacentral:rRNA from 1 species
CCUACGGGAGGCUGCAGUGAGGAAUAUUGGUCAAUGGACGAGAGUCUGAACCAGCCAAGUAGCGUGAAGGAUGACUGCCCUAUGGGUUGUAAACUUCUUUUAUAAAGGAAUAAAACGAGGCACGUGUGCCUUUUUGCAUGUACUUUAUGAAUAAGGAUCGGCUAACUCCGUGCCAGCAGCCGCGGUAAUACGGAGGAUCCGAGCGUUAUCCGGAUUUCUUGGGUUUAAAGGGAGCGUAGAUGGGUUGUUAAGUCAGUUGUGAAAGUUUGCGGCUCAACCGUAAAAUUGCAAUUGAUACUGGCAGUCUUGAGUACAGUUGAGGUAGGCGGAAUUCGUGGUGUAGCGGUGAAAUGCUUAGAUAUCACGAAGAACCCCGAUUGCGAAGGCAGCUUACUAAACUGUGACUGACAUUGAUGCUCGAAAGUGUGGGUAUCAAACAGGAUUAGAUACCCGGGUAGUC